rnacentral:rRNA from 1 species
UACGGAGGAUCCGAGCGUUAUCCGGAUUUAUUGGGUUUAAAGGGUGCGUAGGCGGCCUGUUAAGUCAGGGGUGAAAGACGGUAGCUCAACUAUCGCAGUGCCCUUGAUACUGAUGGGCUUGAAUGUACUUGAGGUAGGCGGAAUGUGACGAGUAGCGGUGAAAUGCAUAGAUAUGUCACAGAACACCAAUUGCGAAGGCAGCUUACUAAAGUAUGAUUGACGCUGAGGCACGAAAGCGUGGGGGUCAAACAGG